rnacentral:rRNA from 1 species
ACGGAGGGUGCGAGCGUUGUCCGGAAUCAUUGGGCGUAAAGGGCGCGUAGGUGGCCCGGUCAGUUCGUGGUGAAAGCGCGGGGCUCAACCCUGCGUCGGCCAUGAAUACUGCCGCGGCUGGAGCACUGUAGAGGCAGGCGGAAUUCCGGGUGUAGCGGUGGAAUGCGUAGAGAUGCGGCGGAACACCGAUGGCGAAGGCAGCCCCCUGGGCUGAGAUUGACGCUCAGGCACGAAAGCGUGGGGAGCAAACAGGA